CGAAGCUCGGGAGGGACUGAACUGCAGCCGUUGCUUUGCGGUUCCCGUGCGAAAAGCACGCGGGGUGACCGCUGGCGGGGAGCGCUCGGAGGAGCGGCGUCGUUUCCCAUAGCGAUGCUGACGUCCCCGCACCUGUGCAGCCCGUGGGCUUCCAGCGGCAGCUCUUCGUUCCCCCGGCGGGUCCCGGAGCGAGGCGGGCUGACAAAGAGCGGAGUUUUCUCCCGGGGCGGAAUGAGUGAACCCAUCGCUGCGAACACAGCGCGGGCGGAUUUCGGUGCAAUUAGCUCCGCAAAUACCACGACAUGCAGUCUGCGAGCGGACUAAAAGGUCUCCUAAACAAUUAGGGGACCGCGGCCCCGUGGACCCCUGUCAUGCACAUUAAUGUCACCAGCCUCAGCAGAGGCUACGCGUGCUUUGAUGCCGGGGGAAUCCAGCGUUUGACGACCCCAUAAACUUCGUACCGGUUUUGGUCCCGGCUCCCACGAUUCGGUGGCGUUUUAUUUACUGCGCCUCGUAACGUUUAGUCUAUAAACAAAUAGGGGCUGGGGAGAAGGGCCGGCGUGGGCUUAAUUACCUCAAGUCUCUGCCUCCUCUUUUGUUAUGUGCAUCAUGGAUACUUGGCAGCAUUAACAUUCCUGGAAUUGUAUCUGCCGUCCUUUGUAAAAGGAUUGAAUGCGACGCAUUAGUUCGGGCUCGUGGGGCAUUUGUGUCUCCAACAACAGCUUAAUUAUGGACAUUGUUUACUAAUCAGUAUUAAAUUGACAGACUAUCAGGGCUAAUCUGGAGAUUAACACAAUAGCUUGUUUUCAUUUUGUCCUUCUAGCAGUUUAUUGAAUGCAGGAUUUAAAACAAGACCCUCUUGUGAGCCUUCCCUUCCGCACCGCAGCUGUGUGACCGCGUCCAGACCCGUCUAUUUGUUUUCUGCACUGUAGAGUCAGAGCAAACACUGGCGUGCUGUAGAAGCACCUACCAAGCCCAGGCUGCCCUGCACGCCGCUGAACGUAAGGGCGACAGGAGGUGCGCUUCGGUAGGGCUCAGCAGCUCGCUCAUCUUCAGGCUGCCUUACAGCAACGGAGCCCGGGCCGCGGGCAGUGAUCUGCACAGGGAGGAGAGCCGAUGUUGCUCUGUGCGAAGUUAUUCAGUGACAGCCGUGUGUGUUUCUGGGACGUCUGCUUUGCCCAUACAAAAUGUUAAGCUCCCCGGCAGGUUUGUUUUGCCUGUGCAAGAAUUCCACCGUUGGCCACGAAAGCGGCUGGAUGUCGGUUCUACACAGGCAGAGGUGCCCGUUGGGCUAUGAGAAAUAGGAGGGGUCACUUAGAGAAGAAAACGCGUGGUGUGGGUCUGCCAUGUGGAGUCUGUCCGGCUGGGCUGUCUGCCUGCAGUGCUUUGGUUUGCAGCAGUGACUGAUCCCGGCACGUCCCGUCUGCACAUCUUCACAGCUGUAUUCAGCUCCCAUCUCUCAGGCUGCUGGAAGCACCGCGGGGUUUGUAGGCUGAGAAGCCGUGCCUGCUGAUGGAUGGCUUCGCUGAUUAAGUAUAGAUUAAUCAGAACGCACUUAGUAAUAACUAGAUGAUGGAGUUUUAUUUUCUUCCUUUCUGAAAGAGGGCUUCAGAAUAGGAGGUGAUGCUGCAGUGCACUUUGCAGCAACAGCGACUUUGGGAGAGAGGACGAAACAGCUGGAGGCGUUAGGAGGCACCUCGAGUGCUGUGUUCAGCUAGGAAGACAUGGAGGCCGUGGAGUGUGUGCACAGAAGGGCAGUGGAGCUGUGGGGGCUCUGGAGCACACAUCUGAUGGAGCAGCUGGGGGGGUUCCUUAGAGGUGCGUAGCUUUCAGGAAACUUUG
ensembl:lncRNA